rnacentral:rRNA from 1 species
UACAGAGGUCUCAAGCGUUGUUCGGAUUCAUUGGGCGUAAAGGGUGCGUAGGCGGCGCGGUAAGUCGGGUGUGAAAUCUUGGAGCUUAACUCCGAAACUGCAUUCGAUACUGCCGUGCUUGAGGACUGGAGAGGAGACUGGAAUUUACGGUGUAGCGGUGAAAUGCGUAGAGAUCAUGAGGAAGACCAGUGGCGAAGGCGGGUCUCUGGACAGUUCCUGACACUGAGGCACGAAGGCCAGGGGAGCAAACGGGG